CUCCAGCAGAUACCAGACACCUUGUCAAAGUCUUCACUUGUGGGUGAUUUGUUAAGAAGUUAAAGAACUCCAAUCAUGCUGCUGCUUUUGUGUCAUCAGAGAAGUCUAGAGGUCAAUUCCACAAGUUUUUGACUAUCUACUGUUGCGCCUGGUGUGUUGCUGAAUCUGCUGAGCUCGUUGAGACCUCUGCUGCACCAAAUCAGUCUUGCUCUUUGCCUUGCCACCGAGGUCACAUCCAUCGACUUCCUUCUUUUUAUUUUCUCUGUUGUGAUUGUUCCUGGUUGCCUACUCUGCUGCCCCUCUUGAGCUGGUCGUUUUAGACGCCGGUUGUCAGAACAAGGACGUUCAUUGUGAAGAAGGGAAAAUUUCAGUAAAGAUAGGCGUUUAUUUAGUGCGGGGCCCAGGCUGUGAGAAAAAGUGCCCCUCCCGGCCCCAAUUCAAACUAAAAAAACUGGAAUUAGAUAGUUUAUCAAUCCAAAGGGCAUUUUUGCAAUUUUGCAAUUAUCACAAAAUGCAAGGGUAGAUUUGCUAUUAUCAAGAAUUGAGGGGUAUUCUUGAUAUUUCGGGAAAUUUCAGGGGAAUGUGAUAUUUUUCCAUCAUAUUAUUUCUUUUCGGUUUCUGACACACUCUUCCUAUACUUUCGAUAUGUUAUGCUGAUGUGCGUAACCUCUAUAGUGGGUGCCUUGAGCCUAGAUUGAAGAAGCCGAGGCCGUCGCUCAUCCAACAGAUUCCUGGAUUCGUCCUCCGUCAUUGUUGGUGCCUCCGCCAAGUCUUGGGAGGUGUCGGAUGGCCUGCUCAUUAGCUCCUCCAUUCCAGGUGUCGUAAGAAGAGAUUGCAAAUCGGUUCUGCUAUCGGAGUCAAAGGUGAGUGGUUAUCGGGUGUUGUGUGGCUUUGACCGUUAUGUCAAUUGUUUCGAUGUUGCCGUUAGUAGCUCUAGCUUAGUUGUCUAUGUCUUGUGUAACUUCGGCGAAUAGCUGUUCAAUAGCGCCUUCUACAUCUAUGUCGAGAUCAAUGUUGAUUUCUUCAGAGUGAUGAGAGUCACGGUUUUGUUUGGGAGAUGGAUGAAUUGGGAUGUUGAAUUGGCUAGGUGGGCUAUGGAUUGCAAGCCUGAGGGGCAGGAAGGCCUCAGGUAGAGUUAAUUUCUACUUCGGCUCACCUUCCCUUGCUAUAGAAAAAAUGCCCCAUGUAGUCUAGAUUCUGUUAAGAAGAAGCUUCAGAUCGAGCACCUUGUCAAAGGAGCGUUUCAGACAAUAUAUAUAUCCUGCCAUGCUUCUAUGCUGAUUUGAGUGGUUGCUUUCCAUGAAUUGUAUAGUACUUUGCCAAGGUUGAAGGAAGUGUUAUUUAGUUCUUGGUUACAUUUAUCUACCCAUAUGUUCCAUACCAAUGUGCCCCAGAGGAUCUCCCAUGCGGUGUUGUCAGUCCAAGAUGUUGCGGUUUCAAUAGUAUUUGUCCAAGCUAAUGAUGUUCCAUGAGCGUCAUAGGUCUGUUGAGUUAGCGGAGGCACGUAGUUGGCUAAAUUGCAUCCAGGCUUUGGAGACUAUCGGACAUCUGAAGAGGGCAUGUUUAAGGGAUUUGAUCACGGUGUCAUUGCAGAGUUGGCAGGAACUAUCUCGGCUCACUUUUUGUUUCCAGUCACCAAUUGAUAAGCCUCCCGCCCACAUGAGCCAAUGCAUUGCUGAGAUUUUCUUUGGUAGCCAUGGGUGCAAGUCUCUAGAUUAGCAGUUUGCAUUAUUUCAGGCUAAAGCCUACAUUAGCCAUGUUCUUAAUCUCGGACAGAAUUGCAGAGCUGUAGCCUCUUUUGCUUGUAUAUUUAAAGAAUUUUGCUUGUUUGUGAGUUCCUCUCUAGCUUCACUCCCAGUCCUUUGGGUCUCAAGGUAGUCGGAUGAUGGGUGUUUUUCCAAAGAUCCAGUCUCUCUUUGAAUCCGAUAGUUCCUGUAGAGGGUUAUAGUGAGUAACUUAAUUAUCCAUAGUAAUAAGAAUUCAAACUUGCUCCAGGGGGCCGGUAGGGAUAGAUUCCUUGCCGAGUCUUAUGAGUUGUUUGGAUGGUUCCACUCUGUAUUUAAUGCUGAGGUGGAAUAUGAGGUUGAUUUGAAUUAUUAGA